GACAGAGGUCUCGAGCGUUAGGCGGAAUCACUGGGCUUAAAGCGUGUGUAGGCGGAGUGCUAAGUACCUUGUGAAAUCCCACGGCUUAACUGUGGAACGGCUGGGCAUACUGGCGGUCUUGAGCCAUCUAGGGGCGACUGGAACAAACGGUGGAGCGGUGAAAUGCGUAGAUAUCGUUUGGAACGCCAAUGGUGAAAACAGGUCGCUGGGGAUGAGCUGACGCUGAGACACGAAAGCCAGGGGAGCAAACGGG
rnacentral:rRNA from 1 species